rnacentral:lncRNA from 1 species
UUAUCUCUUAUGUGAACCCUUGAGGCCCAAAAUACAUAUUAGAAAUAAAUCGGGACUAAACUGGGUGUAAUAACCCAAAUUUGCCCGGCCCAAAUCGAAAGUAAGUAAACAAAAAUAUAAAAUAAAAUAAAAUAAAAAAAUAAUCCAUUUUAAAUGUCCAUUUACAGACUCUAGGCCCAAUACAGAUUAACCCAACCCUAAUUCAGCCUAAAAUACCCAAAACCCCAGCCCCAAUACACUAUGGCCCGAUUUGAAUAAUUUUCAGAAACCCCUAGGGUUUCCAGAAUGCCUCCAACGCCGCAACAGUAGCCUCCAGCACGCUGCUCUUCCC